GACGAACGCUGGCGGCGUGCUUAACACAUGCAAGUCGAACGGAAAGGCCCUGCUUUUGUGGGGUGCUCGAGUGGCGAACGGGUGAGUAACACGUGAGUAACCUGCCCUUGACUUUGGGAUAACUUCAGGAAACGGGGGCUAAUACCGGUUAGGAGCUCCUGCUGCAUGGUGGGGGUGGGAAAGUUUCGGCGGUUGGGGAUGGACUCGCGGCUUAUCAGCUUGUUGGUGGGGUAGUGGCUUACCAAGGCUUUGACGGGUAGCCGGCCUGAGAGGGUGACCGGCCACAUUGGGACUGAGAUACGGCCCAGACUCCUACGGGAGGCAGCAGUGGGGAAUAUUGCACAAUGGGCGGAAGCCUGAUGCAGCAACGCCGCGUGCGGGAUGACGGCCUUCGGGUUGUAAACCGCUUUCGCCUGUGACGAAGCGUGAGUGACGGUAAUGGGUAAAGAAGCACCGGCUAACUACGUG
rnacentral:rRNA from 1 species